rnacentral:sRNA from 1 species
UAUGUUUGUUGAUAUUUAUUGUUGGUAUACAGGAAUUUUAUUGAUUUUAAUGUGAUUUCAGUGAGUGGGUCCAUGAGCUGUAAGAAUUUUCUAGUGGAACCGUAGUGUUCUUUACAUAUGUAUCAUAUCACCUGCAAAGGAUAAUACUCUGACUGUUUUCCUUCAUAUGGACAUGCCUUUACAUAUUUCUGUUUUCAUAUUGUUUGGAGAAGACUUCACAUACUAGUUGGAUUAGAUGAAAAGAUUGAACAUCUGUGACAUAUUCCUUAUUUUAGUGGAAAUGCAUUAAGAUUUUCUCCAGUUAGGAUGCUGUUGGCCUUCUAAAUUGUCUUUAUAAUGUUAAGGUAUAUCUUCUCCAUAUCCCAGAUUCUCCAGGUCUAUUUCCUGUAUCACUGUGAGAAUUGGCCAAAGAAAUUGUCUGCCUCUAGUGCAAUGAUCAUGUGUUUCCUGUUCUUGAUUUCAUGUUGUGUAUUGUUUAUUCAUUUGUAUUUGUUGAAACAUUCUUGCUCUCUGGAGGCAAGCCAACUUGAUCAUGCUACCUGAUGUGUCUGAAUUUUAUUUGCCAGGAUUUUAUUGAGAAAUUUUUCACUUAAGUGUUCCUUCCAAUCUUUGUUUUCUAGGCUUCGAAGAGACACCAUGAGCAAGGGAACUUUUUGAAGAAAGAGUUUAUUGGGGCUUACUGUUUCAAGGAUCAUGAGUCUGUGAUCAGUAUGUGGGGGUACAUGACAGCAGGCUUCGAAGAGACACCAUGAGCAAGGGAACUUUUCGAAGAAAGAGUUUAUUGGGGCUUACUGUUUCAAGGAUCAUGAGUCUGUGAUCAGUAUGUGGGGGUACAUGGCAGCAGGUAGGCCACCAUGUUUCUAGAGAACUAGCUGAGAUCUUACAUCUUAUCUGCAAGUUGGACACAGAGAAAGUGAGAGUUAAGUAUAAAUGGUAUGGAAUUUGGGAACCUCAAAACCCAAUCCCAUAACAAUCCUACAAAAAAAAAAAAA